UUUGGAGGAGUUUCCGGUGGUGUGUUUGGAGGUGUCUGUGGAGGUGUGUUUGGUGGAAGCGUUGGUGGAAUUUGUGGUGGUGUGUUUGGUGGAAGCGUUGGUGGAGAUUGUGGUGGUGUGUUUGGAAGAGCUUCCGGUGGUGUGUUUGGUGGAAGCGUUGGUAGAGUCUCUGGUGGUGAGUUUGGAGGAGUUUGCGGUGGUGUCUCCGGUGGUGUGUUUGGUGGAAGCGUUGGUGGAAUCUGUGGUGAUUGGUUUGGAGGAGUUCCCGGUGGUGUGUUUGGAAGUGUCUCCGGUGGUGUGUUUGGAGGCGUUUCCGGUGGAGUGUUUGGAGGACUUUGUGGGGGUGUGUUUGGUGGAGUUUCCGGUUGUGUGGUUGGAGGAGUUUCCGGGGGUGUGUUUGGAGGAGUUUCUGGUGGUGUGGUUGGAGGUGUCUUUGGUGUGUUUGGAGGAGUUCCCGGUGGUGUGUUUGGAGGUGUUUCUGGUGGAGUAUUUGGAGGACUUUGUGGGGGGGUGUUUGGUGGAGUUUCUGGUGGUGUGAUUGGAGGAGUUUCUGGUGGUGUGGUUGGAGGUGUCUCCGGUGGUGUGUUUGGAGGAGUUCCUGGUGGUGUGUUUGGAAGUGUCUCUGGUGGUGUGUUUGGAGGAGUUCCCGGUGGUGUGUUUGGAGGUGUUUCUGGUGGAGUAUUUGGAGGACUUUGUGGGGGGGUGUUUGGUGGAGUUUCUGGUGGUGUGAUUGGAGGAGUUUCUGGUGGUGUUGUUGGAGGUGUCUCCGGUGGUGUGUUUGGAGGAGUUCCUGGUGGUGUGUUUGGAAGUGUCUCCGGUGGUGUGUUUGGAGGAGUUCCCGGUGGUGUGUUUGGAGGUGUUUCUGGUGGAGUAUUUGGAGGACUUUGUGGGGGUGUGUUUGGUGGAAUUUCCGGUGGUGUGGUUGGAGAAGUUUCCGGUGGUGUGUUUGGAGAAGUUUCUGGUGGUGUGGUUGGAGGUGUCUCCGGUGGUGUGGUUGGAGGUGUCUCCGGUGGUGUGUUUGGAGGAGUUCCCGGUGGUGUGUUUGGAG
rnacentral:lncRNA from 1 species